ACUCAGCUGACGAGUCCCAAAUAAGACGAACAGUGCGUCCUGAAU
rnacentral:hammerhead_ribozyme from 1 species